AUUGAACGCUGGCGGCAGGCCUAACACAUGCAAGUCGAGCGGAGCGGCGGUCGGGUGCGUAAUACCUAGGAAUCUGCCUGGUACUGGGGGAUAACGUUCGGAAACGGACGCCAAUUCCGCAUACUAUCCGCUGAGCCUAGGUCGGACUCGCUAGUUGGUGAGGUAAUGGCUCACCAGGGCUACGAUCCGUAACUGGUCCGAAAGGAUGAUCAGUCACACUGGAACGGAGACACGGUCCGGACUCCAAGGGGAGGAGGCAGUGGGGAAUAUUGGACAAUGGGCGAAGUCGUGAUGCAGCCAUGCCGCGUGGGUGAAGAAGGUCUUCGGAUUGUAAAGCACGUUAAGUUGGGAGGCGUGACCGGCAGAAUAAGCACCGGCUAACUCUGUGCCAGCAGCCGCGGUAAUAC
rnacentral:rRNA from 1 species